rnacentral:rRNA from 1 species
UACGAAGGGGGCUAGCGUUGCUCGGAAUCACUGGGCGUAAAGCGCACGUAGGCGGCUUCUUAAGUCAGGGGUGAAAUCCUGGAGCUCAACUCCAGAACUGCCUUUGAUACUGAGGAGCUUGAGUCCGGGAGAGGUGAGUGGAACUCCGAGUGUAGAGGUGAAAUUCGUAGAUAUUCGCAAGAACACCAGUGGCGAAGGCGGCUCACUGGGCCGGUACUGACGCUGAGAUGCGAAAGCGUGGGGAGCAAACAGG